rnacentral:lncRNA from 1 species
AGCACUCGUUGUCUCUGCGCUCUCUACUGUGUCCCCCCACUGACUCACUCUGAACAGUUUUUCACUCUAAACUCGUUGUGGUUGGUACUUCUUUGCAUCAAGUUCCUUUCUGAAACUACCUACCUUUCUACCUCUACAGUAGGUCUCAUCUUUAAGAACCCACCUGUGGUUUCUCAGCAUGGCCAGUAUAGAUUUAGAAGCUGUGCUCCUUAUUUUGCACACCUUCUUGAGUAACCUUGAGUGCCUUUCAUCGAGGGCAUCACUAGCCUAGGGGACUCCUGGUGGGAGUUUGCUCGGGUUCUCUGCUCGGAUCCCGUUGCUCAACAUGGCACCACGGGGGGUUUCCUCUCACCCCCUGCUCCUGCUCUUAGACUCUGCAGCUUCGUCAUUUAUACUGUGAGCUGCCCGUCUCCUAAGAUGGCUCACCUGAGACUUCUCCCUCACUUGCCCACACCUUCCUGGUCACCCGCGUUUACAGAAUUCCAUCAUAUUCCUCCCCUCCAAGGCGUCGAACUGCCUCACUUUAC